rnacentral:tRNA from 1 species
GCCUGGGUGGCUCAGUCGGUUGAGCGUCCGACUUCGCCUCAGGUCAUGAUCUCGCAGUUCGUGGGUUCGAGCCCCGCAUCAGGCU